UACUUUUUUUCCAUUGAGCCACACUCUAGAACUAGAUGACUGGAUACAUGGGCAUUUGGACAAUUAUAACACUUUUUGAAUUUUAUGAAAAAUAUAAACUUAUUCCCAAGUUUCUCAAUCAUUAUAGAUUACUAAAAACAUAAAAGGAAAGAAAAUAAUAUACAAUAAAGAUUCCUGUUCUCUUCAAAGAGAUUCCUUUUCCUGCUGAUUACAAAACCAGAAAUUUACAUUUAUUUUUUGUUUGAUUAUGAACAGGGUUACAAAAGGUUUCUUGUCCAACAGAAAUUAUACAUAUAUUGAACAUGAUCUCAGACAUAGUAAAGAGAGGAAAUCACUUCAUUUUAAAAGUCCUUUGAUUAAAAAAAAUAAUAGAUGCACAUGGCUAAAUAAUUCAAACAGGGAGCUUCCCUGAUCAAGCUAGAGAACACCAUUACCAACUUCUUGCACAUCCUUUCAGAAGUAACCUACACACUGAAGUAUUAUGUGUGUGCCUCUCUGUAUGCAUAGCUUUCUACUCCACCCCUUUUGUUGCUCAAUGGACGCAUACACACUACUCUACACCUUGCUUUUUACACUUAACCAUAUACCUUGGAGAUCACUUACAUGAGCACACACAAAUUCAUCCAUCUUACUUCAUGGCUAGAGCACAAUUUAUCUAACUAUUCCCCUACUAAUGGACAUUUAAGUAGUUUCCAGUCUCCUGCUACUAUGAACAAUGCUGUCAUGACUAUGCUCCAUAUAUGUCCUUGUAUAUAGGUAAAAUACAUAAAGAAUCAUUUUCUAGAAGUGAAAAUGCUGACUAAAAAGGUUUGUGCAUUUUAAAUGUUGAUGAAUACAGAUGGUCCCCAACUUAUGAUGGUUUGACUUAACAUUUUUUGACUUUAUGAUGGUGUGAAAGCAAUAUGCAUUCAGUAGAAACCUUACUUACAAUUUUUAUCUUUUUGCAGGCUAGCAAUAUGCAUACUGUCUCAUGAUGCUGGAUACACAGUGGCAGCAAGCUGCAGUUGGCAAUGUGAUCACAAAGGCAAUCAACCAAUACUGUACUCUAUAGUAUACUGUAUUCAAUAAAUUACAUGACAUAUUCAACAGUUUAUUAUAAAAUAGCCUUUGUGUUAGAUGAUUUUGCCCAACUGUAUGCUAAUGUUUAUCAGGAAGUUACCCCACUGUAAGUCAAGGAACAUCUGUUUUGCCAAAAUGUUCUCCUAAGGGAUACAAUCAAUUUAUAUUCCUAUCAACAAUGUCUGAGAAUGUUUUUCUGUAUAUAUUCUCAACAACCCAGUAUGUAUUAUCAAGCCGUUUGAUACUUGCUAAUAAAUGAUGAAAAACACUAUUUUGAGGAAGAAUCAAUAUCGUAAAAAUGGCCAUUCUGCCCAAGGUAAUUUAUAGAUUCAAUGCCAUCCCCAUCAAGCUACCAAUGACUUUCUUCACAGAAUUGGAAAAAAACUACUUUAAAGUUCAUAUAGAACAAAAAAAGAGCCUGCAUUGCCAAGUCAAUCCUAAGCCAAAAGAACAAAGCUGGAGGCAUCAUGCUACCUGACUUCAAACUAUACUGCAAGGCUACAGUAACCAAAACAGCAAGGUACUGGUACCAAAACAGAGAUAUAGACUAAUGGAACAGAACAGAGCCCUCAGAAAUAAUGCCACAUAUCUACAACUAUCUGGUCUUUGACAAACCUGACAAAAACAAGAAAUGGGGAAACGAUUCCCUAUUUAAUAAAUGGUGCUGGGAAAACUGGCUAGCCAUAUGUAGAAAGCUGAAACUGGAUCCCUUCCUUAUACCUUAUACAAAAAUUAAUUCAAGAUGGAUUGAAGACUUAAAUGUUAGACCUAAAACCAUAAAAACCCUAGAAGAAAACCUAGGCAGUACCAUUCAGGACAUAGGCAUGGGCAAGGACUUCAUGUCUAAAACACCAAAAGCAAUGGCAACAAAAGCCAAAAUUGACAAAUGGGAUCUAAUUAAACUCAAGAGCUUCUGCACAGCAAAAGAAACUACCAUCAGGGUGAACAGGCAACCUACAGAAUGGGAGAAAAUUUUUGCAAUCUACUUAUCUAACAAAGGGCUAAUAUCCAGAAUCUACAAAGAACUUAAACAAAUUUACAAGAAAAAAACAAACAACCCCAUCAACAAGUGGGCAAAGGACAUGAACAGACACUUCUCAAAAGAAGACAUUUAUGCAGCCAAAAGACACAUGAAAAAAUGCUCAUCAUCACUCGCCAUCAGAGAAAUGCAAAUCAAAACCACAAUGAGAUGGUAAUCUCACACCAGUUAGAAUGGCGAUCAUUAAAAAGUCAGAGAACAACAGGUGCUGGAGAGGAUGUGGAGAAAUAGGAACACUUUUACACUGUUGGUGGGACUGUAAACUAGUUCAACCAUUGUGGAAGUCAGUGUGGCGAUUCCUCAGGGAUCUAGAACUAGAAAUACCAUUUGACCCAGCCAUCCCAUUACUGGGUAUAUGCCCAAAGGAUUAUAAAUCAUGCUGCUAUAAAGACACAUGCACACGUAUGUUCACUGUGGCACUAUUCACAAUAGCAAAGACUUGGAACCAACCCAAAUGUCCAACAAUGAUAGACUGGAUUAAGAAAAUGUGGCACAUAUACACCAUGGAAUACUAUGCAGCCAUAAAAAAUGAUGAGUUCAUGUCCUUUGUAGGGACAUGGAUGAAGCUGGAAACCAUCACUCUCAGCAAACUAUUGCAAGGACAAAAAACCAAACACCGCAUGUUCUCACUCAUAGGUGGGGAAUUGAACAAUGAGAACACACGGACACAGGAAGGCGAACAUCACACACCGGGGCCUGUUGUGGGGUGGGGGGAGGGGGGAGGGACAGCAUUAGGAGAUAUAUCUAAUAUAAAUGACGAGUUAAUGGGUGCAGCACACCAACAUGGCGCGUGUAUACGUAUGUAACAAACCUGCACGUUGUGCACAUGUACCCUAAAACUUAAAGCAUAAUAAUAAAAAAAAAAAGAAAAUCUAGACAUUCCUAUCAAUGUCUAGAUUGUAACAUUUUUGAAAGCAAACAAAAAAAAAAGAAAAACACUAUUUUGUAGCUUUAAAGUGCAUUUCUUUUAUUAUGAGUUAAGAUUCAAUAUUUUUCAUAUGUUUAAAUUAAAGGUCACCUGUAUUUCCUUU